rnacentral:rRNA from 1 species
UAUGUAGGUGUCCUUGUAAGUCGGGUGUGAAAUCCUUCAGCUUAACUGAAGAAUUGCGCUCGAAACUGCUUGGAUUGAGUGCAUGAGAGGAGAGGGGAAUUCUCGGUGUAAGGGUGAAAUCUGUAGAUAUCGAGAGGAACACCAGUGGCGAAGGCGCCUCUCUGGCGUGCAACUGACACUGAAAUACGAAAGCGUGGGUAGCAAACAGGAUUAGAUACCCUGGUAGUCC